CUUCCAUGAAGCUGGAAUUGCUGUAAUGGCAGGUCAGCAUACUGCCGUGAAUACGUUCCCGGGCCCUUGUACACACCGCCCGUCACACCAUGAGAGUUGGAAAUACCCGAAGCCUGUGAGCUAACUUAAAGAGGCAGCAGUCGAAGGUAGAGCCAAUGAUUGGGGUGAAGUCGUAACAAGGUAAC
rnacentral:rRNA from 1 species